AUUGAACGCUGGCGGCAGGCCUAACACAUGCAAGUCGAACGGUAACAGGAAGCAGCUUGCUGCUUUGCUGACGAGUGGCGGACGGGUGAGUAAUGUCUGGGAAACUGCCUGAUGGAGGGGGAUAACUACUGGAAACGGUAGCUAAUACCGCAUAACGUCGCAAGACCAAAGAGGGGGACCUUAGGGCCUCUUGCCAUCGGAUGUGCCCAGAUGGGAUUAGCUAGUAGGUGGGGUAACGUCUCACCUAGGCGACGAUCCCUAGCUGGUCUGAGAGGAUGACCAGCCACACUGGAAGUGAGACACGGUCCAGACUCCUACGGGAGGCAGCAGUGGGGAAUAUUGCACAAUGGGCGCAAGCCUGAUGCAGCCAUGCCGAGUGUAUGGAGAAGGCCUUCGGGUUGUAAAGUACUUUCAGCGGGGAGGAAGGGAGUAAAGUUAAUACCUUGGCUCAUUGACGUUACCCGCAGAAGAAGCACCGGCUAACUACGUG
rnacentral:rRNA from 1 species